AGGACGAACGCUUGCGGCGCGCCUAAUACAUGCAAGUCGAACGAGGUAGCAAUACCAAGUGGCGCACGGGUGGGUAACGCGUGGAUAAUCUGCCUAUCAGUGGGGAAUAACUAACCGAAAGGUUAGCUAAUACCGCAUGAGGCCACAGGACCUGCGGGUCUAGGGGUUAAAGAUUUAUCGCUGAUAGAUGAGUCUGCGUGGGAUUAGCUAGUUGGUGGGGUAACGGCCUACCAAGGCAACGAUCUCUAACAGGUCUGAGAGGAUGACCUGUCACACUGGAACUGAGACACGGUCCAGACUCCUACGGGAGGCAGCAGUAGGGAAUAUUGCGCAAUGGGGGAAACCUGACGCAGCGACGCCGCGUGAGUGAUGAAGGCCUUAGGGUCGUAAAGCUCUGUUGAAGUGGAAAGAAACAAAGUGACGGUACCAUUCGAAGAAAGGACGACUAACUCGUGCCAGCAGCCGAC
rnacentral:rRNA from 1 species